UUUAGCUACAUUCUCGUCAAUUUUCGUUUUUGACGGUACUGCAUACUCGCAACUUAGAGGAGUACCAAUGGGUAGCCCGGUUUCAGGCUUACUGUGCGAGAUGGUAAUAAGAUCUCUGGAAAAUAGCGUACUGCAGAAGUAUGAAGAUAAAAUGAUAAUGUAUGCAAGGUACGUCGACGACGUAUUGAUUAUUUGGAAUGAUAAACCAGACAUACGACAAUUUAUUAGAGAUAUAAACAACAAUAAGUAUGGCUUGGAAUUAGAACUAGAGCAGCAAGAUCAAAAAAGAGUACACUUCUUGGAUAUAGAGGUCGAAAUAGAUGAUAAAGAGCAAAUUGUUACAAAAGUGUAUAGAAAACCGACGUACGUUCCGGAUUUGAUACCAUGGUCCUCGCAUGACCCAACAAACUACAAACUAGCAGCGUUUAGAGCACUUAUUAAACGAGCAUACACUCAUUGUAGCAGGAUGUAUGACACACGUAAAGAACUUGAUUACAUUGCAAAAUUAGCAAGAGAUGUAGGACUUAAGCAAAGUAAAGUAAAAGCCUUAAUACAAGAAGCGGAAAAAGGAUGCAAUAAGACUAAAGAUAAGAAAGAAAAAAAGGAGUUCACCGUAAUGGAAUACAGAGCACCGUUAAGUGGCAUAUACAGAAAAAUAGGAGUAGAGAGCAAAAAGAAAAUAGCAUAUAAGAGAAACACGACAAUAUUCCAAAUGCUAAGAAAUGACAAAACACCAAUAGACAGGAGGCUAGUUCCAGGUGUGUACAGAAUACCGUUGCAUGAUAAAAGGCUAAAGAAAGAGUUAUAUUAUAUAGGAGCCACAAAGAGAUCAUUAAGAGAAAGAUUGAAGGAGCACGAAAAAAAUAUAAGAUCUAAACAACCGAUCACGGCUUUGGCCAAUUAUGCUAUCGCGGAUCCUGCAGAGAUUACAAUCGAAUGGAGCAAGGCGGAUAUUGUACAAAAGAUCGAUAAUAUACGACAUCUAAAGUAUGCAGAGGCAUGGCACAUUUAUAAAUACAGAGAAAAGGGGCUUAAUAUAAAUUUUCGAGAGUCAAGUAGAAUAGCAACGGCAUGGAGAGCGGCGGCAUUAUAAAGAGCUAAUGGGCAUGCGCGAUCGAAUAUCUGAAGAUUAUAGAACGUGCGUGGUUCGAAUUACCGUUGAGAAAGUUCAAAUUUUUAAAAUAUUUUACAUCAAUCCUGAAGAAGGUCUAUAAAUUAGACCGAAAACGUUAGAGAACUGACAAAAGUAGACUGCAUUUUAAAGGUUCAGGUGAAGUUGAAAAUCAGUUGCUAAUGUCAAGUGAUAUAAUGUUUAAAUCUCCUAUAAAAUGUUUCCAAGAGAAGACAAACAAUGAUGUGUCUCAUCAGCAAAUUGCUACUUUGUCAUCAUUACCAGGACAUAUGAAUUCAUAUUAUCAGUCAGUAUGGACUGACAGAUCUCAAAAUGAUAAUACUAAACAAGCAGUUCAGGCUGUAUUAACAGGAAAAUGGACAUUAAGGAAAGCUUCAGAUUAUUACAAAAUACCACUUACUACCUUAUGGAAGCGCGUACAGUGUGCAAAGAAUAAGACAUUAACAGUGAGUGAAGUCCCCCAAACUUCAUGAUGAAAAAUAUUGCAAGUAUUAAAACAGUAUAAUGUUAUACAAUUUUAUUUUUUAAAUUUUUGAUAUAUGUAAUCAGUAUUAUGGUUAGCUUUUGCUCUCAUAUUCGUAUUUGCAAAAUUUUAAGUUAUUUUUUUACCUCAAUUUUCAUUUUUUGAUUAUCAUAAAUAUAGAAUAUAAUAUUGUAUAUGAAGAAAAUUCAUAGUUUCACAGUAAAAAAACAUAUACAAAUCUUUUAAUAAAUGGUGUUUCUUUUGAAUAUUACAUUAUGCAUUAUUAACUUACUGUUUUUGAAUACUUAAAUGAUUAUAAUAAUACACAGAUGAAUAUAAUAUAAUUCAAUUAUUAAUGAUCUAUAAGUUUAAACUAUAAUAAAUGUUUAUUUUCAAGAAAUUAAAAUUACAUUACGAUAUUAUUGUAUAAUAAAUAUUUUCUUCUGGAAAAUUAUGCUUUGGUUUUUAACUUAACUAAUUUUCUCUGUCUGUAAAUGAAUGAGGAUUAGAUUUAGAAUUUUUAGUAUAAAACACAAUUACUUAAAGAAUAGGAUAUGUCUAAAUUAAUUUAAAGUCACUGUUUUAUUGAAAGUCACAAUAUUGAAAUACUAAUAAAAUUCUAAUCUCUAGCUUCAGCCACUUUCUUUUAACAACGAAACAUUUUCAGUCUUUUAUAAUUACAGUACUCUGUACCUUCAGCUUGUGUUAAGAUAUUGAAAUACAUUUUACAUAUUAAAAAACAACAGAUAAACAGAACUAAAAUAAAUUUAUAAAAAGGUAUGUCAAAUGAUUUUUUUAAAUCUGCCAUGAAAUAAACAACUGAAGUGUAAUAAUUUAGGAGAUAUUAAUAUGAUUUUUAAUUUUUUUAUUUACAUUAGUAGCCAAUAAAAACAGAUUUUAAGUUAUUAUUGUAAUAGUAAUUGU